rnacentral:rRNA from 1 species
UUCGCCCUUAGAGUUUGAUCCUGGCUCAGGAUGAACGCUGGCGGCGUGCUUAACACAUGCAAGUCGAACGAAGCGCUUGAAUGGAUUUCUUCGGAUUGAAGUUUUUGUGACUGAGUGGCGGACGGGUGAGUAACGCGUGGGUAACCUGCCUCAUACAGGGGGAUAACAGUUAGAAAUGACUGCUAAUACCGCAUAAGCGCACAGUGCUGCAUGGCACAGUGUGAAAAACUCCGGUGGUAUGAGAUGGACCCGCGUCUGAUUAGCUAGUUGGUGGGGUAACGGCCUACCAAGGCGACGAUCAGUAGCCGGCCUGAGAGGGUGAACGGCCACAUUGGGACUGAGACACGGCCCAAACUCCUACGGGAGGCAGCAGUGGGGAAUAUUGCACAAUGGGGGAAACCCUGAUGCAGCGACGCCGCGUGGAGGAAGAAGGUUUUCGGAUUGUAAACUCCUGUCGUUAGGGACGAUAAUGACGGUACCUAACAAGAAAGCACCGGCUAACUACGUGCCAGCAGCCGCGGUAAAACGUAGGGUGCAAGCGUUGUCCGGAAUUGCUGGGUGUAAAGGGAGCGCAGGCGGGAAGGCAAGUUGGAAGUGAAAACCAUGGGCUCAACCCAUGAAUUGCUUUCAAAACUGUUUUUCUUGAGUAGUGCAGAGGUAGAUGGAAUUCCCGGUGUAGCGGUGGAAUGCGUAGAUAUCGGGAGGAACACCAGUGGCGAAGGCGGUCUACUGGGCACCAACUGACGCUGAGGCUCGAAAGCAUGGGUAGCAAACAGGAUUAGAUACCCUGGUAGUCCAUGCCGUAAACGAUGAUUACUAGGUGUUUGGGGGGAAUGACCCCCUCCGUGCCGCAGUUAACACAAUAAGUAAUCCACCUGGGGAGUACGACCGCAAGGUUGAAACUCAAAGGAAUUGACGGGGGCCCGCACAAGCAGUGGAGUAUGUGGUUUAAUUCGAAGCAACGCGAAGAACCUUACCAGGUCUUGACAUCCGAUGCAUAGCACAGAGAUGUGUGAAAUCCUUCGGGACAUCGAGACAGGUGGUGCAUGGUUGUCGUCAGCUCGUGUCGUGAGAUGUUGGGUUAAGUCCCGCAACGAGCGCAACCCUUAUUGCCAGUUACUACGUUAAGAGGACUCUGGCGAGACUGCCGUUGACAAAACGGAGGAAGGUGGGGAUGACGUCAAAUCAUCAUGCCCUUUAUGACCUGGGCUACACACGUACUACAAUGGCGUUAAACAAAGAGAAGCAAGACCGCGAGGUGGAGCAAAAUUCAAAAACAACGUCUCAGUUCAGAUUGCAGGCUGCAACUCGCCUGCAUGAAGUCGGAAUUGCUAGUAAUCGCGGAUCAGCAUGCCGCGGUGAAUACGUUCCCGGGCCUUGCACACACCGCCCGUCA